AAAACAAGUAUUUGACGAGGACAUACAGGAAAAUAUCAAUUUUGGAAGGAUAUUCAUGCAAAAUUCGAUAUUUAUGAGGAUAUUUAUGUAGCAAAUUUUUUUAAAAAUUAAAGCCAUUAUCUUUUGAUUAUCCUAUUUUCAUCUAAUCUAAUAUUGGUGGUAAUUCCAUGCGUCUAUCUCACAACCCAAUUGGUUUACAAAUCUGGUCUAGGUUCUGAACCGGGCUCGGUGUAGAUCGGUUCGGUCCAACCGGCUCGCUCCCGGCAUAUGGUCCAUGCGUCUGGACGCGUGUCGAUUCCCAUAUGGAUAGCGUUCAGUUCGUACCCUCAAAUUUUACCCAUUAUUUUGUACCGGCGUGAAUCAAUGUGCGCAGUCGCACAUGUUCGAUUCCCUUAAAAGCACCCCUGCACUGCAC
rnacentral:lncRNA from 1 species